CGACACACUCCCGGAAACAGCAGCUGAACCAGCACCAGCCAAAGCCGAUGAAUCAGGCAGCUCAGAUUGAUUAUCAUUCACAGAAGAAGAUGAAGAAUCAGCAUCCUUCUUCGAAGAAGAAAGUAUGAGCCGUCUCAUACUAGCAUCCAAGUCAGCCACCUCCCAUGACUCCGGUGGGGCUCCGAGAUCAUCAGCAACAGACACAGAGCCCUCCAUGGGUUCAAUUUUUUAGCCCAACAAAAAAAAAAUCAAAAAAAAUCAAAAAAAAAUCUAGGAUUUAGACAUGAAAGGAAUCAUCAAAUCCAGCUGUAAAUCAAGAUUAUAGAGAAGCUAGAUUCGAAGAUUUCGAAAAUUUUCAUAGCGAUUGAGAGAAUCUAAAAGAGGAGGAAAACGGUUCUAGG
rnacentral:misc_RNA from 1 species